CAGAAAAUAGUUUAUUUAAAAUAUUAAUUUUGGGAAUUAAAGAAGAAUUAUUUUUAUUCUUUUCUGA
rnacentral:tRNA from 1 species